GUGCAAAACGAGCGUCGGUAGUGCAACGGUUAGCAUACGCUCCCGGAAAUAGUGAGAUCUGGGUUCGAAUCCCGGCAAACGUUUUUGCACA